rnacentral:rRNA from 1 species
UACGUAGGGGGCAAGCGUUGUCCGGAUUUAUUGGGCGUAAAGAGCGUGUAGGCGGCUGGGUAGGUCCGCUGUGAAAACUCGAGGCUCAACCUCGAGACGUCGGUGGAAACCGUUUGGCUAGAGUCCGGAAGAGGAGAGUGGAAUUCCCGGUGUAGCGGUGAAAUGCGCAGAUAUCGGGAAGAACACCCGUGGCGAAGGCGGCUCUCUGGGACGGUACUGACGCUGAGACGCGAAAGCGUGGGGAGCGAACAGG